rnacentral:rRNA from 1 species
AUUGAACGCUGGCGGCAGGCCUAACACAUGCAAGUCGAGCGGAGCGGCGGACGGGUGCGUAAUGCCUAGGAAUCUGCCUGGUAGUGGGGGAUAACGUCCGGAAACGGGCGCUGAUAUCGCAUACUAUCAGAUGAGCCUAGGUCGGAUUAGCUAGUUGGUGGGGUAAAGGCCUACCAAGGCGACGAUCCGUAACUGGUCUGAGAGGAUGAUCAGUCACACUGGAACUGAGACACGGCCCAGACUCCUACGGGAGGCAGCAGUGGGGAAUUUUGGACAAUGGGGGAAAGCCUGAUCCAGCCAUGCCGCGUGUAUGAAGAAGGUCUUCGGGUUGUAAAGCACUUUAAGUUGGGAGGCGUUAUCAACAGAAUAAGCACCGGCUAACUACGUGCCAGCCGCCGCGGUAAUUC